UGUUAAAAAAAAAAGCUAAGGGAAACCUAAAAGGCGACCGACUCUGUCUGGUAGAGUGGAGGGGACAACUCCGAUCACAAAGCCUUGGUUUCUCCGUCUUUGUUGGAGACUUUCAAGCGUUCUUCGAUCCACGUCUUUCCAAAUUCCCCCUUUUUUUAAUUCCGUAAUAAAAGCUGAAGCUUUUAAUCACAAGCUCUCACCUUUUCUCAGAUGAGGCCUCUUUGGAUCCAAUCUCCUCCGUUCCAGAUUCGUAAUUUCCAGACCCACCACGUUUCCUUUAUAGAGCUCUCUAAUGGCGGCCGUUUCCGGACACUUGAUUGUCUCCAAGGUUCCUACAUGUUCCACAUCAGUCGCUCACUCGCAAAAUCAAGCGAUAUUUGGUUCCGAGGUGAAAUUGAGGGAAACUGAAAAAACCCAGUUGAUAUGUUCAGCCCUUUUCAGGCAAUUUACGGGUCUGAUGAACUUUUCUUGUCGGAUUCUUGUAAGAAUCUGAAGUUUUUAUCUGUUUCUGAUCGUCGGAACAGGGAACAAAGAGUUUGUCACCUGAGUAGCGAUUCUGUUAUGGUUUCAGAAAUUCGUUCAAUUUUGGAUGUUGCUUCUGUGAUGUUUAAAUUGUUACUUUGUGAAUUUGGAGCUUGGUGGUGCAACCAGCUAUUAUUCAUUUCGAAAGUACCAUUACCCUAUACUGCAAAUGGUCACGUGCAUGAAUUAUAUAUGAGAUUAAUCGUCUCUAUUUGAGCUUAUUUUUACGUUACAUGGUGAGGUUGAUACAACAGUAACAUAGUAAGGAAAUGUGGAAGGGAAAACAAUCCCAAGCAUCGUGUGCGUUUAUUCAUAAUGUAGAAAAAAG